GGGCCAUAGAAUGUUGAAUCCUUUGGAUAGACUGAACCUGGAAGAUACCCAAGUGGAAAGUUUGAGGUGGAGUUCUUCCUCAAAGACUAAGUCCUCUGGACAAGUCAUUUUCAGAAUGGACAGUGAGGAAUGGAAAGAUUUAAACGUGGUUGUGAAGAGGACAUUUGUUGGCAGCGCAACUGAUUGUACAUGAGGGGAAAGACAGAGUGGCCCAGUUUUACUUUAAGACUUUCCCUAGGCUGGAGCUGAUCCCCAGAAAAAGAUGCAAUUUCAAACAUCACUGACUCAGAACUACUACUUGUUUCACAAAGACCUGACAGACACCUGCAGGAUAUGCUGACACCUGGAUGACAUCACAAGAGGCUUAAGCAGUAUUGGCUCAGGAAUUAAUCUAGAAAGGAACUAGAGAAAGGGUUCAAAUACAGGCAGACAAGAUGCUCUUUUCACCCUAAAGAGUUAAAGUGGGGGUGAUGGCAAGGCCUGGCUCAAACUCAGGUGAACCCUAAAAGGGGAUCAAAUCCAAAGAGACCUCACUCAUUUGUUAUUAAAUAUCUUGACCCUAGCAGGGCUGUGACUAAUUCCCCAUGGCCCUAAAGCUAUAGGAUUUAAUGGAUGUGGGUCUGUGUAUAUGGUACCUGCAUGUAGGUGAGGAGAGAGAUGCAGAAAGAGUGCUAAUUCAAGAUGGAGUCUCCAACAUGCUUAAAUGAUACCUUUGUCCCUCAAGUGAUUCUGUGGCCUUAAACUCCCUAGGGAUUCUGCGAAGUAUACAUCUUAACCAAGAGACUAACCUUGGCAAACAGGAAGAAAUUAUAAAAAGUACUUGGAUUCCCAACAGAAUUGGUUUCUGGAAAUUGCAUAAGUCAAAAUUAUCUUGGAACCAAUUUUCUCAUAGAAGCAAUGUUAUAAAUGGGGAAGUGGAUCAUCAACUAAGGAUCAUCAUCCUACUUUGACCAAAAAUAAUCUGGAAUUAUGUACUCUAUCAGGUAAGUAAUCUAGAACUAUAGAGAUGCCUAAUAGUUUAAUUACUGAGUCAGAAUUUCCAUCUUGGGGUAGCCCACUUUUUUUACUUCAGAAGUAAAAUGGAUAUUGUUGGGUCUCCCCCUGGCCGUCAGUAACCUCAUACCCUGGUGCAAGGGGCAGCUGGAGGGUGUCUGAGAUCCACCACAGCAGCCAACAUCCAGACAAACUUAUCAGGAGUUCCUGUCUCUUUCCACUCACCUCCUUGUCUCCAGCUGCCAACUCCAGGAGGUAUGGCUUUGCCAUGUGCCUGACUGUGGUAGAUGGUGUGAAAUAGACCUAAUUCCCCUGCCUGCAGUGGCUGGGCUCAACUCAGAAGCUGAUGACCAUAGCAUCAUCAUCAGGAGUAAAGCUGAGCCCCCAGUUGGUUUGGGGAUGGCUCUGCCCCCCGGGUCACUUCCCCUGAUGCCCAAGAUCCUGUAUUAUGGACAAAGCUUUCCUCUGGCUUAGGACUGCUUGCAGUGACAGAGAGAAGAAUGAAUAAGACUCACCUCUUCUUCCGGCACAGACUCCCUGCUGCAUUGGACAGCCAUCUUGGGUUUGUAUGGAGAAAAUUGCUUGCUCUUUUGAGGCAGAUGGAAGAACUUUGAUGGAAAAGAAAAAAAGCUCUUCAAUAUAAGCAGGAGUUAACUUAAUCCUUGUCUCUGACACAAAUCUUUUCACCAGCCCUGUGGUAAGGAGAGUGGACACCACCAGCCAGGAGCUGAGGCUGUUGAGACCACACCUGAUGACUCAGCCUAGAGGGAAUGGAAUGGGGAUGUGAGCUCUGGUCUUGGAUGCCCUUGGGUAUUGGGAUCAGGCUUGGGAGCUGAUUCUGAACCUUUUUUUUUAAUUUGAUAUUUGUUAAUCUCCUUACUAUGUGUCGAGCACUGUUCUGAAUGCUGGGGUAGAUAUAAAUCCAUCAGGUAGUUCAAAGUCCCCUGUCCCACAUGGAGCUCUGUUUGAGAUGACAUUCAGAACCUGAGGAGUUGGAUGGGGGCUGGGCCAUACUCUCAUGCCAAACAGGAACUCCUCGUUCCUUCUUUCAUCCUGAUUAGUUUUCCACUGACGUGGGUCUUUGAAUGUAUUCUCCUGUGGCUGUUCAUUUUUACCAAAGGUGCAGAUGGACCAAGGUGAUCUCAUUCUUUGCAAUUGCCCCCAGGAAGAUUAUUUCCCCUAUUUUACAGGUGGAGAAAACUAAAGUACAAAACGGGAAGGUGAGGUCGGGGCAGGGAGCAGAACGGACAUCCUUACCCUGGAUUUUUUUCACAUGUAUACUGAUAUCAUUUAGUCAGUUAACAUCAGUGUCUCCAACAGGAUUUACCAGGCCCUUUCUGUGGCAAAGUAUGAGGUAUAGAGGAAUAUUUGGGAAAAGUUAAAGGAACAAUACCUGCUCUCAAGCUGAUUGUCAACUCUCAUUUGGAACAACGACUGCAGGCAGAGCCCUGGGAUAUUAUUUAUUACUAUUUAUGAACAGAAGAAAAUAGUUUCUCUGCCCUGAAGCAACAAAUGGGGAGAGAGAAAGGACCCAAGCACACAAACUCAUAUAUAAAAUGCAAAUGUUAGAAACACCCUACAUCAGUAAUGCUAUUACUAGGUCAGACCAGUGGUCUUUCCAUUCUAGAACUGUGUGGCUGACAGGGUCACAGGACACUUGAAGCCACUCUGUGAGGGUGGCUGGCCUUCCCGGGUAUAGAUGGACCAUCUUAAACCCCUAAUGUUCCCACCUCCCCCUGCCCCCCACCUUAAUAACCCAUCAUGGGACUAAAUAAUCUGAACAUAUAGAUAGCCCUUUCUGAGCCCUUCACCAUGGUUUGUAGUAAUCCACUAUGGGCCGCUUUAUCCCACCAAACCCUUAUUGAGUCUACAAAUAAUUUGUCUCCAGAACUUCUGAAGACAGGGAAUUCUGUAUGUUUAGGUUUUUAUAAUAAUACCCUGCCUUUGUGUGAUGUAUAUUUUCCCAAAGGGCUUUCAUAUAAAUGAUUGCAUUUAA